UAUAUACUCCCUCCGUUCGGAAAUACUUGUCCUAGAAAUAGAUGUAUCUAGACUUAUUUUAGUUAUAGAUACAUUCAUUUUAUACAUUUUUAAGACAAGUAUUUCCGGAUGGAGGGAGUAUUAA
rnacentral:pre_miRNA from 1 species